GCCACGACGCGCAAAUAUGCAGUUAAUAAAAAAUUGAGAUGCUUCUAUAAAAACAUAUUUACACAUUGUUCAUUUGUUCUUUCCAAGCUUCUCAUUGUGCUACUUAGCAGCUUAUCUAUGAGAUGCUAUGCAUAGUUAGCCAUCUUGUUGAUUUAUUUUUUAAACUUUGCUUCCUAUAUCUAUGCAAGAUUUUAUGCAUUUUAACAGAGAACUUAGGUUUCUUAGGAUUUUUGAUAUUCAAUUUUUCCCCUUAUUGUUUCAACCCAAAAAUCUUGGUGCUAUCUUUUGGUAGAUGUUUGACAAUUUAGGAAAACACAUAUAUACCAUAGAAGAAGCUAUGAUUCCU
rnacentral:misc_RNA from 1 species